UACGAAGGGUGCAAGCGUUACUCGGAAUUACUGGGCGUAAAGCGUGCGUAGGCGGUUCGUUAAGUCCGUUGUGAAAGCCCUGGGCUCAACCUGGGAAUGGCAGUGGAUACUGGCGAGCUAGAGUGUGAUAGAGGAUGGUGGAAUUCCCGGUGUAGCGGUGAAAUGCGUAGAGAUCGGGAGGAACACCAGUGGCGAAGGCGGCCAACUGGUCCGAUACUGACGCUGAGGCGCGAAAGCGUGGGGAGCAAACAGG
rnacentral:rRNA from 1 species